CAGUGCACAAAAGUGCUGCAGCCUCUGGUUUUCAUGCCAUCUUGGCACUAUCCUAAUUUCCUUUCUAGAUCUUCCACUAGGAAGGGUGAAAGUGAGGAUGUCCUCCUGCUGUGGACAGUUUGUUUUUUUCCCCUUGAAAAUCCAGCAAACAUUGCAGCAGUGUGUGUAGUUUGUCCUUAUCUCCAGAGAGAUAAGGUACUGAGAGGAAUGCUUCAUUUGGUACAAGUUCAAGGACAUACAGCAUGCAAGUAGAAAUCCUGAAUCACAGUAAAAACAAAUGCUAGAUUUUGUUUACUUUGUCCACUUGCCUGAAGAUGAGUUUUCAGUUAGACUCCUUCUGUGUGCUAUAGUCUUGGGAGAGUAGAUGAACAAAGAGAUAAGAGUAUAGAGACAUGCCAGGCAGUAAGACAGUACUCAAAAUAUCAGAGACAGUGCACUUUAUAGAAGGCAAAGCAGCUUAAGCAUUCUCACAGCAUGUGCAAUGGAUUAAAAAAUGUGUUGACUCCUGAGCCAUCUUUCAAUUUUCAAUUGAGUGAAAAAGUUUGUUUUUCUUUUCAGUAAAACAGCCCUAGUGUGACAUUUAAAAUUGUUCCUUUGUAACUUCUAUGGGCCAUCCUUGAUUUUAUGCAAUAUGAUCUCCUUGUAGGUAAGUACCUAAUUUUAAAAUAGGAAUUUUCUUUCACCCUGUUGAGAACUGAGCCCUAAUGCCAAUAGUUCCAACAAGUCCUGUCUGACAUUGAAUCUGGCUCUCUGCA
rnacentral:lncRNA from 1 species